UCAGAAGUGCGAAUGCUGACAUAAGUAACGAUAAAGCGGGUGAAAAGCCCGCUCGCCGGAAGACCAAGGGUUCCUGUCCAACGUUAAUCGGGGCAGGGUGAGUCGACCCCUAAGGCGAGGCCGAAAGGCGUAGUCGAUGGGAAACAGGUUAAUAUUCCUGUACUUGGUGUUACUGCGAAGGGGGGACGGAGAAGGCUAUGUUGGCCGGGCGACGGUUGUCCCGGUUUAAGCGUGUAGGCUGGUUUUCCAGGCAAAUCCGGAAAAUCAAGGCUGAGGCGUGAUGACGAGGCACUACGGUGCUGAAGCAACAAAUGCCCUGCUUCCAGGAAAAGCCUCUAAGCAUCAGGUAACAUCAAAUCGUACCCCAAACCGACACAGGUGGUCAGGUAGAGAAUACCAAGGCGCUUGAGAGAACUCGGGUGAAGGAACUAGGCAAAAUGGUGCCGUAACUUCGGGAGAAGGCACGCUGAUAUGUAGGUGAAGUCCCUCGCGGAUGGAGCUGAAAUCAGUCGAAGAUACCAGCUGGCUGCAACUGUUUAUUAAAAACACAGCACUGUGCAAACACGAAAGUGGACGUAUACGGUGUGACGCCUGCCCGGUGCCGGAAGGU
rnacentral:rRNA from 1 species